GAUGAACGCUAGCUACAGGCUUAACACAUGCAAGUCGAGGGACCGGCGCACGGGUGAGUAACACUUAUACAACCUGCCCUUUACCCGGGGAUAGCCUUUCGAAAGAAAGAUUAAUACCCGUUAUCAAGGAUGGGGAUGCGUUCCAUUAGGUUGUUGGUGAGGUAACGGCUCACCAAGCCUUCGAUGGAUAGGGGUUCUGAGAGGAAGGUCCCCGAGAAGGGAACUGAGACACGGACCAAACUCGUACGGGAGGCAGGAGAAAGGAAUAAUGGUCAAUAGGCGCUAAACUGAAACAGCCAAGUAGCGUGAAAGAUGAAGGGUUAUGGGUGGUAUGCUGCUUUUAUAUAAGAAUCUGUAUUAUAUGAAUAAGGAUCGGCUAACUCCGUGCCAGCAGCCGCGGUAAUUC
rnacentral:rRNA from 1 species